CGCGAUUCGCCCUUCGGGGCGCAGCAGGCGCGAAAACUUUACAAUGCCGGCAACGGCGAUAAGGGAACCUCGAGUGCCAGGUUACAAAUCUGGCUGUCGUGAUGCCUAAAAAGCAUUGCAUAGCAAGGGCCGGGCAAGACCGGUGCCAGCCGCCGCGGUAACACCGGCGGCUCGAGUGGUAACCGUUAUUAUUGGGUCUAAAGGGUCUGUAGCCGGCCGGGUAAGUCUCUUGGGAAAUCUGGCAGCUUAACUGUCAGGCUUUCAGGAGAUACUGCCUGGCUCGAGGCCGGGAGAGGCGAGAGGUACUUCAGGGGUAGGGGUGAAAUCUUGUAAUCCUUGAAGGACCACCAGUGGCGAAGGCGUCUCACCAGAACGGACCUGACGGCAAGGGACGAAAGCUAGGGGCACGAACCGGAUUAGAUACCCGGGUAGUCCUAGCCGUAAACGAUACUCGCUAGGUGUCGGCCACGGUGCGACCGUGGUCGGUGCCGUAGGGAAGCCGUGAAGCGAGCCACCUGGGAAGUACGGCCGCAAGGCUGAAACUUAAAGGAAUUGGCGGGGGAGCAC
rnacentral:rRNA from 1 species